rnacentral:rRNA from 1 species
CUGCAUGGCGACUGCUAUACAUGCAGUCGAGCGGACAGAUGGGAGCUUGCUCCCUGAUGUUAGCGGCGGACGGGUGAGUAACACGUGGGUAACCUGCCUGUAAGACUGGGAUAACUCCGGGAAACCGGGGCUAAUACCGGAUGGUUGUYUGAACCGCAUGGUUCAGACAUAAAAGGUGGCUUCGGCUACCACUUACAGAUGGACCCGCGGCGCAUUAGCUAGUUGGUGAGGUAACGGCUCACCAAGGCGACGAUGCGUAGCCGACCUGAGAGGGUGAUCGGCCACACUGGGACUGAGACACGGCCCAGACUMCUACGGGAGGCAGCAGUAGGGAAUCUUCCGCAAUGGACGAAAGUCUGACGGAGCAACGCCGCGUGAGUGAUGAAGGUUUUCGGAUCGUAAAGCUCUGUUGUUAGGGAAGAACAAGUGCCGUUCAAAUAGGGCGGCACCUUGACGGUACCUAACCAGAAAGCCACGGCUAACUACGUGCCAG